GAUCAUGGCUCAGGAUGAACGCUGGCGGCGUGCUUAACACAUGCAAGUCGAACGAAACACCUUAUUUGAUUUUCUUCGGAACUGAAGAUUUGGUGAUUGAGUGGCGGACGGGUGAGUAACGCGUGGGUAACCUACCCUGUACAGGGGGAUUAACAGGUCAGAAAUGACUGCUAAUACCGCAUAAGACCACAGCACCGGCAUGGGUGCAGGGGUAAAAACUCCGGUGGUACAGGAUGGACCCGCGUCUGAUUAG
rnacentral:rRNA from 1 species